UAGGGAAUCUUCCGCAAUGGACGCAAGUCUGACGGAGCAACGCCGCGUGAGUGAAGAAGGAUUUCGGUUCGUAAAGCUCUGUUGUUAAGGAAGAACGAGUGUGAGAAUGGAAAGUUCAUACUGUGACGGUACUUAACCAGAAAGGGACGGCUAACUACGUGCCAGCAGCCGCGGUAAUACGUAGGUCCCGAGCGUUGUCCGGAUUUAUUGGGCGUAAAGCGAGCGCAGGCGGUUAGAAAAGUCUGAAGUGAAAGGCAGUGGCUCAACCAUUGUAGGCUUUGGAAACUGUUUAACUUGAGUGCAGAAGGGGAGAGUGGAAUUCCAUGUGUAGCGGUGAAAUGCGUAGAUAUAUGGAGGAACACCGGUGGCGAAAGCGGCUCUCUGGUCUGUAACUGACGCUGAGGCUCGAAAGCGUGGGGAGCGAACAGG
rnacentral:rRNA from 1 species